rnacentral:rRNA from 1 species
GAUGAACGCUAGCUACAGGCUUAACACAUGCAAGUCGCGGGGCAGCAUGGGGUUGCUUGCCACCCCUGAUGGCGACCGGCGCACCGGUGAGUAACGCGUAUCCAACCUGCCCUUCACCACGGGAUAACCCGGCGAAAGUCGGACUAAUACCGCAUGUUGUCCAUUGACGGCAUCCGAUUUGGUUGAAAGCCUUGGCGGUGGAAGGAGGGGGAUGCGGCCGAUUAGCUUGACGGCGGGGUAACGGCCCAACGUGGCUACGCUCGGUAGGGGUUAGGAGAGGGAGGUCCCCCACAAUGGAGCUGAGACACGGACCAGACUGCUAGGGAAGGGAGCAGUGAGGAAGAUUGGGCAAUGGGCGUAAGCCUGAACCAGCCGAGUAGGGUGCAGGAUGACGGCCCUAUGGGUUGUAAACUGCUUUUAUGCGAGGAUAAAGUGGCCAACGUGUGGGCUUUUGAAGGUACCGCAUGAAUAAGGACCGGCUAAUUCCGUG